AAAAAUGGAUCCGAUGGAUCUGAUGGAUCCGAUGGAUCCAAUGGAUUUUAGUUAUAAAAAAAAAUGGAUCCGAUGCAUCUGAUGGAUCCAAUGGAUUUUAGUUAUAAAAAAAAUAGAUCCGAUGGAUCCAAUGGAUUUUAGUUAUCCAUUGGAUCCAUCGGAUCCAUUUUUUUUUAUAUAACUAAAAUCCAUUGGAUCCAUCGGAUCCAUCAGAUCCAUCAGAUCCAUUUUUUU